CAUAUAUCAGUAUGAACCAAAUAAAAAGGAAUAGAACUUCUCUUAUUGCUUAUUGGAAAAGACACACGUUUGUGUUUUGCAAGUUCGCAUACAUCACUGUGAAAGCUAUCAAUGACUAAUCCUUGAAAUAAAGAAGGAAACAUUAAUUUUAAAACUUGGAAAGAAGGGAGAUGAUGAAGCCAAAUCUUGGUUUUGUUGUUUGAAAGAGUUUCAGAGUGGAAUGACAAAGGUAUAUUAUUCUUAAUAAUACUUGAGCUGCCUUGUGUACCAAGAUAAUAGAGUCAUGCCUUCUCCUUAGCAUGUCCAAUCAUAUUCC
rnacentral:lncRNA from 1 species